ensembl:rRNA 5S_rRNA 5S ribosomal RNA
GCUUAUGGCCAUACCAGCCCAACAACGCCCGGUCUCGUCUGAUCUCGGAAGCUAAGAUGGCUUGGGCCUGGUUAGUACUUGGAUGGGAGACCUCCUGGGAAUACCAGGUGCUGUAAGCU